CUCUCUCUCUUUUUUUAUCCCUAAAUUCUCUCUUUUUCACCGCAAGUUUCUUGUCACCGUUAAUACCCAAUACUGCAUAGUCCAAUCAUUCACCCAGAAGCAACACCAACCUCACAACCACCGUCCUCGGGCCAACAAACAUACCAAACAGAGAUAACCAAAUUUUGGGGUUGGUAAUAGAGAGAAAGAUGAUCUGAGAUGGACAAUAUAAAGAAAAAUAAAGAAAUCAGAUCUAGGAAUAAACUCAGAUAAAUAAAUAGUUAAGACACUCAGAUUUGAAACCUCACACCUCCGGCGACUUCUCUUUUGUCGCUGUUCAAGCCAUUCCUCUUAUGAAAUCAGAUCUGGGAAUAAUCCAGCCCUUGUGCUUUUUUUAGUGUUAUCUCAAAUCUAACCAUCAUAUUCUCUUUUAUUUGACGGUGAUGGUAGAUUUAUAUUUCAUAGUGUGAAGAAUGAUAAGAAAUAGUAGAAAGGAAAAAUGAGAAUUUAGUUUGAUGAUGGUGGUGAAAUUGAAGUGUGGACUGGUGGUGGCAUAGACAGAGGAAUUGAUCUAUUGUUUUCAAAUGGAGAAGAUGAGAUUAAU
rnacentral:lncRNA from 1 species